UCGAUUAGAGUUUGACCCUGGCUCAGAACGAACGCUGGCGGCAUGCCUAACACAUGCAAGUCGAACGAUGCUUUCGGGCAUAGUGGCGCACGGGUGCGUAACGCGUGGGAAUCUGCCCUUAGGUUCGGAAUAACAGUUANAAAUGCCCCCUAAUACCGGAUGAUGACGUUAAGUCCAAAGAUUUAUCGCCUGAGGAUGAGCCCGCGUAGGAUUAGCUAGUUGGUGUGGUAAAGGCGCACCAAGGCGACGAUCCUUAGCUGGUCUGAGAGGAUGAUCAGCCACACUGGGACUGAGACACGGCCCAGACUCCUACGGGAGGCAGCAGUGGGGAAUAUUGGACAAUGGGCGCAAGCCUGAUCCAGCAAUGCCGCGUGAGUGAUGAAGGCCUUAGGGUUGUAAAGCUCUUUUACCCGAGAUGAUAAUGACAGUAUCGGAGAAUAAGCCCCGGCUAACUCCGUGCCAGCAGCCGCGGUAAUACGGAGGGGGCUAGCGUUGUUCGGAAUUACUGGGCGUAAAGCGCACGUAGGCGGCUUUGUAAGUUAGAGGUGAAAGCCUGGAGCUCAACUCCAGAACUGCCUUUAAGACUGCAUCGCUUGAAUCCAGGAGAGGUGAGUGGAAUUCCGAGKGGGGAGGUGAAAUUCGUAGAUAUKCGGAAGAACRGCCAGUGGCGAAGGCGGCKSRGUGGACUGGUAKUGACGCUGAGGUGCGAAAGCGKGGGGAGCAAACAGGAUUAGRUACCSUGGUAGKCAAUSAGUAGUGAAUUGGG
rnacentral:rRNA from 1 species